GACGAACGCUGGCGGCGUGCUUAACACAUGCAAGUCGAACGAAGUGGCGAACGGGUGAGUAAUACGUGGGUAACCUGCCCUCCUUUUUGGGAUAAGCCUUGGGAACGGGGUCUAAUACCGAAUAAAGGGGGAUGGGCUCGCGGCCUAUCAGCUUGUUGGUGGGGUGAUGGCCUACCAAGGCGGUGACGGGUAGCCGGCCUGAGAGGGUUACCGGCAAAAUUGGGACUGGGAUACGGGCCAGACUCCUACGGGAGGCAGCAGUGGGGGAUAUUGCACAAUGGACGAAAGUCUGACGGAGCAACGCCGCGUGAGUGAUGACGGCCUUCGGGUUGUAAAGCUCUGUUGUUAAGGAAGGAGGACUUAACCAGAAAGGGACGGCUAACUACGUGCCAGCAGCCGCGGUAAUAC
rnacentral:rRNA from 1 species